GACGAACGCUGGCGGCGUGCUUAACACAUGCAAGUCGAACGGGUCUGCCCUGUUUUUUGCGGGGUGGGUCAGUGGCGAACGGGUGAGUAACACGUGAGUAACCUGCCCCUCACUUCUGGAUAACCGCUUGAAAGGGUGGCUAAUACGGGGUGUUCUGGCUGUGCCGCAUGGUGUGGCUGGGAAAGAUUCACUUUUGUGGUGUUUUGGUGGGGGAUGGGCUCGCGGCCUAUCAGCUUGUUGGUGGGGUGAUGGCCUGCCAAGGCUUUGACGGGUAGCCGGCCUGGGAGGGUGGGCGGUCACACUGGGGCUGAGAUACGGCCCAGACUCCUGCGGGAGGCAGCAGUGGGGGGUAGUGCACGAUGGGCGGAAGGCUGAUGCAGUGACGUCGCGUGAGGGAUGGAGGCCGUCGGGUUGUGAACCUCUUUCGCCGGUGAAGAAGGUCCUGCUCUUUGUGGUGGGGUUGACGGUAGCCGGGUUAUGAAGCGCCGGCUAACUACGUG
rnacentral:rRNA from 1 species